rnacentral:sRNA from 1 species
UUCUAGCCCCGAUCGCAGUGGUAUCCUUUUUCUUCCCGAUUUUGAUCGGGAGGAAAAGAUAUAACGGAGAGCGGGUAUUAAC